AACGAACGCUGGCGGCAGGCCUAACACAUGCAAGUCGAGCGGGGGAGCAAUCCCUAGCGGCGGACGGGUGAGUAACGCGUGGGAACGUACCCUUUGCUUCGGAAUAGCCCCGGGAAACUGGGAGUAAUACCGGAUGUGCCCUACGGGGGAAAGAAUUUCGGCAAAGGAUCGGCCCGCGUUGGAUUAGGUAGUUGGUGGGGUAAUGGCCUACCAAGCCGACGAUCCAUAGCUGGUUUGAGAGGAUGAUCAGCCACACUGGGACUGAGACACGGCCCAGACUCCUACGGGAGGCAGCAGUGGGGAAUCUUAGACAAUGGGCGCAAGCCUGAUCUAGCCAUGCCGCGUGAGCGAUGAAGGCCUUAGGGUUGUAAAGCUCUUUCGUGGGGGAAGAUAAUGGCGGUACCCCAAGAAGAAGCCCCGGCUAACUCCGUGCCAGCAGCCGCGGUAAU
rnacentral:rRNA from 1 species